rnacentral:rRNA from 1 species
CACGUAGGCACCAAGCGUUGUCCGGAUUUAUUGGGCGUAAAGAGCUCGUAGGCGGUUCGGUAAGUCGGGUGUGAAAACUUUGGGCUCAACCCAAAGCCUGCACCCGAUACUGCUGUGACUCGAGUCCGGUAGGGGAGUGGGGAAUUCCUGGUGUAGCGGUGGAAUGCGCAGAUAUCAGGAGGAACACCCGUAGCGAAGGCGGCACUCUGGGCCGAUACUGACACUGAGGAGCGAAAGCGUGGGGAGCGAACAGG